rnacentral:rRNA from 1 species
GGCGAUCAGAUACCGCCCUAGUUCUGACCGUAAACGAUGCCAACUAGCGAUCCGCCGGCGGAUAUUUCGCCCUGGUGGGGAGCUUCCCGGAAACGAAAGUCUUCCGGUUCCGGGGGAAGUAUGGUUGCAAAGCUGAAACUUAAAGGAAUUGACGGAGGGGCACCACCAGGAGUGGAGCCUGCGGCUUAAUUUGACUCAACACGGGGAAACUCACCCGGCCCGGACACCGUAAGGAUUGACAGAUUGAUAGCUUUUUCAUGAUUCGGUGGAUGGUGGUGCAUGGGCGUUCUUAGUUCGUGGAGCGAUUUGUCUGGUUUAUUCCGAUAACGAGCGAGACUCUAGCCUACUAAAUAGUUCGCACAUUGUCAUUGUGUGCGCUCACUUCUUAGAGGGAUUUUCGGUGUUCAGCCGCACGAGAUUGAGCAAUAACAGGUCUGUGAUGCCCUUAGAUGUCCGGGGCUGCACGCGCGCUACACUGGCGAAAUCAGCGUGCUUGUCCUCUCUCGAAAGAGAUUGGUAAACCAUUGAAAAUUUGCCGUGAUUGGGAUCGGAAAUUGCAAUUAUUUUCCGUGAACGAGGAAUUCCAAGUAAGUGCGAGUCAUCAACUCGCGUUGAUUACGUCCCUGCCCUUUGUA